rnacentral:rRNA from 1 species
UGUUUGAGCGAUGGAGGGACGCAGGAGGCUAAGGAAUGCACACGAUCGGAAAUGUGUGUCCAAGCAGCAAGUCUGAGAACGAGUGAAAUGCUUUUUCUCUCAAGGACAAGCUGUGAUGGGGAGCGAAAUUUAGUAGCGAAGUUCCUGAUGUCACACUGCCAAGAAAAGCUUCUAGUGAGAAAGUAACUGCCCGUACCGCAAACCGACACAGGUAGUUGAGGAGAGAAUCCUAAGGUGUGCGAGAGAACUCUCGUUAAGGAACUCGGCAAAAUGACCCCGUAACUUCGGGUGAAGGGGUGCUGACCGCAAGGUCAGCCGCAGUGAAUAGGCCCAAGCGACUGUUUAUCAAAAACACAGGUCUCUGCAAAAUCGAAAGAUGACGUAUAGGGGCUGACGCCUGCCCGGUGCUGGAAGGUUAAGAGGAGAGGUUAGCGCAAGCGAAGCUUUGAAUUGAAGCCCCAGUAAACGGCGGCCGUAACAAUAACGGUCCUAAGGUAGCGAAAUUCCUUGUCGGGUAAGUUCCGACCCGCACGAAAGGCGUAACGAUUUGGGCACUGUCUCAACGAGAGACUCGGUGAAAUUAUAGUACCAGUGAAGAUGCUGGUUACCCGCGACAGGACGGAAAGACCCCAUGGAGCUUUACUGCAGUUUGAUAUUGCGUGUUUGUAUCACAUGUACAGGAUAGGUAGGAGCCGAAGAUACCGGGACGCCAGUCUCGGAGGAGGCAACGGUGGGAUACUACCCUUGUGAUAUGACCAUUCUAACCCGCUGCUCUUAGCGAGCAGGGAGACAGUGUCAGACGGGCAGUUUGACUGGGGCGGUCGCCUCCAAAAAUGUAACGGAAGCGCCCAAAGGUUCCCUCAGAAUGGUUGGAAAUCAUUCGUAGAGUGUAAAGGCAGAAGGGAGCUUGACUGCGAGACCUACAAGUCGAGCAGGGACGAAAGUCGGGCUUAGUGAUCCGGUGGUUCCGCAUGGAAGGGCCAUCGCUCAACGGAUAAAAGCUACCCUGGGGAUAACAGGCUUAUCUCCCCCAAGAGUUCACAUCGACGGGGAGGUUUGGCACCUCGAUGUCGGCUCAUCGCAUCCUGGGGCUGUAGUCGGUCCCAAGGGUUGGGCUGUUCGCCCAUUAAAGCGGUACGCGAGCUGGGUUCAGAACGUCGUGAGACAGUUCGGUCCCUAUCCGUCGCGGGCGUUGGAAAUUUGAGAGGAGCUGUCCUUAGUACGAGAGGACCGGGAUGGACACACCGCUGGUGUACCAGUUGUUCUGCCAAGAGCAUCGCUGGGUAGCUAUGUGUGGACGGGAUAAACGCUGAAAGCAUCUAAGCGUGAAGCCCCCCUCAAGAUGAGAUUUCCCAUCACUUUAAGUGAGUAAGACCCCUGAGAGAUGAUCAGGUAGAUAGGUUGGGAGUGGAAGUACAGCGAUGUAUGGAGCGGACCAAUACUAAUCGGUCGAGGACUUAAUC